GUUACAGCGUUCACUCGUCAGGCCGAAGUGCCGGGUUCGACUCUCCACCUGGGUACAAUUUAUGAGGCCCAUUUCCUGGGCGUAAAACCGUGAU